AUCCAAUGCUUAAAUGGAUGAUUG
rnacentral:siRNA from 1 species